AACUCCCCUGCCCUAUUCAUAAAAUAACAAUGUGAAAAUCCCUUCUCCGUCACAUAUAUAUUUCACAGCUACCACUAUCAUACUUAAAUGAGAUGAUAUUAGGAGAUAAAAAUAUUAGAACACCAAUUUUAGUCUACAGUAGGUGCACAUCAUGUACGUAUGGGUCGACCCAUUAAUUGAUAUAAGAAUUUCUACCCAUUGAUUUAUUGCCUUCUUAAAGUUGCAG
rnacentral:lncRNA from 1 species